rnacentral:rRNA from 1 species
CCUACGGGUGGCAGCAGUCGAGAAUCAUUCACAAUGGGGGAAACCCUGAUGGUGCGACGCCGCGUGGGGGAAUGAAGGUCUUCGGAUUGUAAACCCCUGUCAUGUGGGAGCAAAUUAAAAAGAUAGUACCACAAGAGGAAGAGACGGCUAACUCUGUGCCAGCAGCCGCGGUAAUACAGAGGUCUCAAGCGUUGUUCGGAAUCACUGGGCGUAAAGCGUGCGUAGGCUGUUUCGUAAGUCGUGUGUGAAAGGCGCGGGCUCAACCCGCGGACGGCACAUGAUACUGCGAGACUAGAGUAAUGGAGGGGGAGCCGGAAUUCUCGGUGUAGCAGUGAAAUGCGUAGAUAUCGAGAGGAACACUCGUGGCGAAGGCGGGUUACUGGACAUUAACUGACGCUGAGGCACGAAGGCCAGGGGAGCGAAAGGGAUUAGAUACCCCAGUAGUC